AAAAAAAAAAAUCCAAGUUUGUUGCCUAUGUGAAUUGAUACCGAGACAUUGUGGAAAAUAAUGUGAAAAAUUUUCAGGGCAAUAGUGCUUAAAUUUGUCUAAGAAAUAAGAUUAAUUUGAAGGCAACAUGCGUCUGGUAACUAUUAUAGAUAUGUAAUAUGCUAUAAUUGUAAAAAUAUAAUCACUUUUUUGUUAAUAACUCUUCAAGGCCUCAAUAAAUGAUUACAGAUGUAGUUCCAUUUUGGUCAGGAUUGGUCUAUACU
rnacentral:lncRNA from 1 species